GCCUUUCGGGGUACACGAGCGGCGAACGGGUGAGUAACACGUGGGUGAUCUGCCCUGCACUUCGGGAUAAGCCUGGGAAACUGGGUCUAAUACCGGAUAUGACUUCGGGUUGCAUGACUUGGGGUGGAAAGAUUUAUCGGUGCAGGAUGGGCCCGCGGCCUAUCAGCUUGUUGGUGGGGUAAUGGCCUACCAAGGCGACGACGGGUAGCCGACCUGAGAGGGUGACACUCACAACUGGGACUGAGACACGGCCCAGACUCCUACGGGAGGCAGCAGUGGGGAAUAUUGCACAAUGGGCGAAAGCCUGAUGCAGCGACGCCGCGUGAGGGAUGACGGCCUUCGGGUUGUAAACCUCUUUCAGCAGGGACGAAGCGCAAGUGACGGUACCUGCAGAAGAAGCACCGGCUAACUACGUGCCAGCAGCCGCGGUAAUACGUAGGGUGCAAGCGUUGUCCGGAAUUACUGGGCGUAAAGAGUUCGUAGGCGGUUUGUCGCGUCGUUUGUGAAAACCAGCAGCUCAACUGCUGGCUUGCAGGCGAUACGGGCAGACUUGAGUACUGCAGGGGAGACUGGAAUUCCUGGUGUAGCGGUGAAAUGCGCAGAUAUCAGGAGGAACACCGGUGGCGAAGGCGGGUCUCUGGGCAGUAACUGACGCUGAGGAACGAAAGCGUGGGUAGCGAACAGGAUUAGAUACCCUGGUAGUCCACGCCGUAAACGGUGGGCGCUAGGUGUGGGUUCCUUCCACGGAAUCCGUGCCGUA
rnacentral:rRNA from 1 species